rnacentral:rRNA from 1 species
GACGAACGCUGGCGGCGUGCUUAACACAUGCAAGUCGAACGGAAAGGCCCUGCUUGCAGGGUACUCGAGUGGCGAACGGGUGAGUAACACGUGGGUGAUCUGCCCUGCACUUCGGGAUAAGCCUGGGAAACUGGGUCUAAUACCGGAUAGGAGCCAUUUUUAGUGGGAUGGUUGGAAAGUUUUUUCGGUGUAGGAUGAGCUCGCGGCCUAUCAGCUUGUUGGUGGGGUAAUGGCCUACCAAGGCGGCGACGGGUAGCCGGCCUGAGAGGGUGGACGGCCACAGUGGGACUGAGAUGCGGCCCAGACUCCGACGGGAGGCAGAAGUGGGGAAUAUUGCACAAUGGGCGCAGGCCUGAUGCAGCGACGCCGCGGGGGGGAUGACGGCCUUCGGGUUGGAAACGCAUUUCGCUAGGGACGAAGCUGUUAGUGACGGUACCUAGAGAAGAAGCACCGGCUAACUACGUG